UCUGGCUCACGAUGAACGCUUAACGGCGCGCUUAAUGCAUGCAAGUCGAGCGAUGAGGCCUCUUCGGGGGGUACAUCAGCGGCAGACGGGUGAGUAACACGUAGGUGAUCUACCCCAGAGACGGGGAUAACGGGUGGAAACAUCCGCUAAUACCGGAUAGACUUGUUCGGUCAAAGGGACAAGGAAAGGCUCCGGCGCUCUGGGAGGAGCCUGCGGCCCAUCAGCUAGUUGGCGGGGUAACGGCCCACCAAGGCAAAGACGGGUAGGGGGUGUGAGAGCAUGGCCCCCCACAAUGGGACUGGAACACGGCCCAUACUCCUACGGGAGGCAGCAGCAGGGAAUAUUGCACAAUGGACGGAAGUCUGAUGCAGCGACGCCGCGUGGAUGAAGAAGGCCCUCGGGUUGUAAAAUCCUUUACAGGGGGAAGAGGAAGGACGGUACCCCUGGAACAAGUGUCGGCUAACUACGUGCCAGCAGCCGCGGUAAGACGUAGGACACAAGCGUUAUCCGGAUUUACUGGGCGUAAAGCGUCUGCAGGCGGACAGGUAAGUUGGGCGUGAAAGCUCCGGGCCCAACCCGGAGAGGUCGUUCAAUACUGCGUGUCUAGAGGGUGUCAGAGGGGAGUGGAAUUUCCGGAGUAGCGGUAAAAUGCGCAGAGAUCGGAAAGAACACCAAUGGCGAAGGCAGCUCCCUGGGGCAACCCUGACGCUAAGAGACGAAAGCUAGGGGAGCGAACAGGAUUAGAGACCCUGGUAGUCCUGGCCCUAAACGAUGGAUGCUGGAUGUGGGGCCAUAGCGCUCCGUGUCGAAGCGAACGCGUUAAGCAUCCCGCCUGGGGACUACGGCCGCAAGGUUAAAACUCAAACGAAUUGACGGGACCCCGCACAAGCAGCGGAGCGUGUGGUUUAAUUCGAUGCUACACGAAGAACCUUACCUGGGUGUGACAUCUAGGUGGUAGUGAAGC
rnacentral:rRNA from 1 species